GGUUUAAUUCGAAGCAACGCGAAGAACCUUACCAAAUCUUGACAUCCUUUGACAACUCUAGAGAUAGAGCUUUCCCCUUCGGGGGACAAAGUGACAGGUGGUGCAUGGUUGUCGUCAGCUCGUGUCGUGAGAUGUUGGGUUAAGUCCCGCAACGAGCGCAACCCUUAAGCUUAGUUGCCAUCAUUAAGUUGGGCACUUCUAAGUUGACUGCCGGUGACAAACCGGA
rnacentral:rRNA from 1 species